rnacentral:rRNA from 1 species
UACAGAGGUCCCAAGCGUUGUUCGGAUUCACUGGGCGUAAAGGGUGCGUAGGCGGUCGGAUAAGUCUGAUGUGAAAUCUCUGGGCUUAACCCAGAAAUGGCAUUGGAUACUAUUCGGCUUGAGAGUUGGAGGGGGGACUGGAAUUCUUGGUGUAGCAGUGAAAUGCGUAGAUAUCAAGAGGAACACCAGUGGCGAAGGCGAGUCCCUGGACAACUUCUGACGCUGAGGCACGAAAGCUAGGGGAGCAAACAGG